rnacentral:rRNA from 1 species
GUUAAAAAUCUUGUUAAUAAAUAUUUAGUUGUAGUUUUUUAUAUGUGAAAAAUAAUUUUUAAUUAUAGUAAAGUAAUUUUUAAUGAAAAAAUAUUUAUAACUAUAAAGUAUAAGUACUGUAAAGGAAAGAUUUAUAUAUAAGAAAAUAAAAAGUAUAAAUGAAAUUUAGUACCUUGUGUAUCAGGGAAAAUUUAUAUAAUUAAAAUAAUAUUUAAAUCUCGAAAUAAAAAUAGUUAAUUUUAUAAUAGAGUUUUUGUAGGAUAUAAAUUUUUAAUAUAAAAUUAAAGAUGAAAUGUUAAACGAGUUUUAUAAUAUCUAGUUUUUUGAAAAAUAAAUUUAAUUUGGUUUUUAUAUUUAUAAAAUAUAAAGAGAUAAAAUAGGAAGGAUAAGCUUUUUAUUAUAGAGGAUGAAAUAGUAAAAUAUAAAUAAUAUUAAUGAUCUAAGCUUAAAAAUAGCUAUGUUUAUAAAGUGUUUUAAUUAAUUUUUUUUUAAAAAAGUAAAAAUAUUACUUUUCUUAAAUAUUAAAAAUUUAUUUAAAAUAGGAAAUAAUAAGGAAAAAUGGUUUUAUUAGUAUAAAAUUAAUUGUAAUAACAGAAGGAUAGAAUGUUUUUAAAAUUAUUAAAAGAAAAAUAAUAGAUUAAAGGAAUUCGGCAAAUUUUUUUCUUGCCUGUUUAUCAAAAACAUGUCUAUUUGAAGAUAUAAAAAGUCUGACCUGCCCACUGAUAAAUAAAUGAAUUUAAGGGCCGCGGUAUUAUGACCGUGCAAAGGUAGCAUAGUCAUUAGGUUUUUAAAUGAGAUCUUGAAUGAAUGGUUUGACAAAGGAAAAACUGUCUUUAAAUUAAUAUUUGAAUUUAACUUUUAAGUGAGAAGGCUUAAAAUAUUUUAGAGGGACGAUAAGACCCUAUAAAGCUUUAUAUUGUAAUUAUAUUUAAUUAAAUUUAUCUUACAUAAAAGUUUGGUAUAAUUAUUUAUUUUGUUGGGGAGACAUUAGUAAAAAUUUUAUUAACUGCUUGAGAAGAAAACAUAUAUUAAUGGAAAAUUACAGAUCCUAAAUAUAGAUUUAAAGAUUAAGUUACUUUAGGGAUAACAGUGUUAUUUUUUUUGAGAGUUCUUAUCGAAAAAGAAGUUUGCAACCUCGAUGUUGAAUUAAAUUGUCUAUAUAAUGCAGUUGUUAUAAAAGAUGGUCUGUUCGACCUUUAAUUUUUU